rnacentral:rRNA from 1 species
CCUACGGGAGGCAGCAGUGGGGAAUAUUUGGCAAUGGGCGCAAGCCUGACCCAGCGAUGCCGCGUGCAGGAAGAAGGCUCUCUGGUUGUAAACCUCUUUGACAGGGGAAGAGCAGAAGACGGUAACCUGCAAACAAGCAACAGCUAACUACGUGCCAGCAGCCGCGGUAAUACGUAGGAGGCAAGCGUUGUCCGGAUUUACUGGGUGUAAAGGGAGCGUAGGCGGAAAGGCAAGUCAGAAGUGAAAGCCCAAGGCUCAACCAUGGGACUGAUUUUGAAACUGUCAAACUAGAGUACGGGAGAGGUAAGAGGAAUUCCUGGUGUAGCAGUGAAAUGCGUAGAGAUUAGGAGGAACACCAGUGGCGAAGGCGUCUUACUGGACCGAAACUGACGUUGAGGCUCGAAAGCGUGGGGAGCAAACAGGAUUAGAUACCCUAGUAGUC